ACACACAGAAUAAGAGCAAGAGAUGGCAGGCAAGAGAAGCAGGACACAUGUGGAGAAGGUCAAUUUAAAGCAGUGCAGGGAGCACAAGUGACACCAAGAGGUACCACUGCCAGCCCUGAAGGUGUACCCUGCUACAACUGGACAUUGGCUGGGAACCUUUUGAUGGCCAUGGAGAAAAUAAUUUUUUCCUGCCUUGAGAACCUAAAGAUGAUAAAGUGGAGGCUGACUGACUGCUGCAGCACGUGACUCAACAGUGGGCAGAAACUCAGAAGUGCCAAAGUAUGUUGGCCCAAAUAAGUGCAAGGACUACACAUCAGAUUGAGAAAAUGCAACAGUAACAAGUCCAGCAAGCAGAAGAGUAAAAUAUGUUAUUUACCAGGUUACUCAUGGAGCCCCAGGAACAAAAUCCUCUGAGGACAGGCCCAGACCUAUCAGCCAACACAACCAGCUCCCAACCUUAACGAAAGACCAAAGGCAUGGCAGUUGAGAACAUGACACCAGAGUGUGGCAGUGGCAGAGCUGAUCUUCACCUUGACAAUGCACGGGACAUGCCCUUGUAAGCUGAGUCCAGCUUUGGCACUGCACUUGUUGAAGAUCCAAUUCCAGUCCAGGAA